CGCCUGUUUAUCAAAAACAUGUCUUUUUGAUUAAUAAUUUAAAGUCUGGUCUGCCCACUGAUUAAAAUAAUUAAAGGGCUGCAGUAUUUUGACUGUACAAAGGUAGCAUAAUAAUUAGUCUUUUAAUUGAUGACUUGUAUGAAUGAUCGAAUAAAAUAUAAUCUGUCUCUUAAUAAAUUUAUAGAAUUUAAUUUUUUAUUUAAAAAGUUAAAAUAAUUUUAAAAGACGAGAAGACCCUAUAGAGUUUAAUAAUUUUAUAAAUUAAAAUUAUAUAUAUAAAUUUAAUUAAAAAUUAUAUAAUUAUUUUAUUGGGGUGAUAAAAAAAUUAAUAAAACUUUUUUUAAAUAUUAACAAAAAUAAUUGUAUAUUUGAUCCAAUUUAUUUUGAUUAUAAGAUUAAAUUACCUUAGGGAUAACAGCGUAAUUUUUUUUUUUAGUUCUUAUAAAAAGGAAAGCUUGCGACCUCGAUGUUGGAUUAAGAUAAAAUUUAAACGCAAAAGUUUAAAAUUUUGAUCUGUUCGAUCAUUAAAAUCUUACAUGAUCUGAGUUCAAACCGGAG
rnacentral:rRNA from 1 species